rnacentral:lncRNA from 1 species
GAGCCCAGGAGUUCUAGGCUGCAAUGAGUUAUAAUCACCCACUAGACUAGAGCCUGGGCAGCAGAGCCAGAUCCUAUCUUUAAGGAAAAACAAAACAAAACAAAACAGAACAAAGGUAAUUUAAAAAUGGAGAUACAUGGAAAAGUAAAAUUUAAAUUUUACUGAUAAAAGCAUUGAUAUGUGUUUUUUUCUUAGAUAUUGGUGUGCAUUUGUUUUGUUCAUUCACAAUACUUUAAACCAA